rnacentral:rRNA from 1 species
AUUGAACGCUGGCGGCAGCCUAACACAUGCAAGUCGAGCGGAUGAAGGGAGCUUGCUCCUGGAUUCAGCGGCGGACGGGUGCGUAAUGCCUAGGAAUCUGCCUGGUAGUGGGGGAUAACGUCCGGAAACGGGCGCUAAUACCGCAUACGUCCUGAGGGAGAAAGUGGGGGAUCUUCGGACCUCACGCUAUCAGAUGAGCCUAGGUCGGAUUAGCUAGUUGGUGGGGUAAAGGCCUACCAAGGCGACGAUCCGUAACUGGUCUGAGAGGAUGAUCAGUCACACUGGAACUGAGACACGGUCCAGACUCCUACGGGAGGCAGCAGUGGGGAAUAUUGGACAAUGGGCGAAAGCCUGAUCCAGCCAUGCCGCGUGUGUGAAGAAGGUCUUCGGAUUGUAAAGCACUUUAAGUUGGGAGGAAGGGCAGUAAGUUAAUACCUUGCUGUUUUGACGUUACCAACAGAAUAAGCACCGGCUAACUUCGUG